rnacentral:rRNA from 1 species
UGGGGAAUCUUGCGCAAUGGGCGAAAGCCUGACGCAGCAACGCCGCGUGAGCGAAGAAGGCCUUCGGGUUGUAAAGCUCUGUCAGGGGGAAAGAAGGCACCUGGGUUAAUAGCCCAAGGGCUGACGGUACCCCCAAAGGAAGCCACGGCUAACUACGUGCCAGCAGCCGCGGUAAUACGUCGGUGGCAAGCGUUGUCCGGAAUCAUUGGGCGUAAAGAGCGCGUAGGUGGCUUGUCAGGUCUUAUGUGAAAUUUCGGGGCUCAACCCCGACCCUGCAUCGGAAACCGGCUUGCUAGAGUCUGGGAGAGGAGAGUGGAAUUCCUGGUGUAGCGGUGAAAUGCGUAGAUAUCAGGAGGAACACCGGUAGCGAAGGCGGCUCUCUGGAACAGUACUGACGCUGAGGCGCGAAAGCUAGGGGAGCGAACA